CACACUUGUUACAUGCUCUAUUUCAAGCCAUCACAGACAAAGAUGGCAAUUUAUUCACAGUACAAAAACAAAAACAAAAACCAAAAAAAAGCUACACACGAAGAGAAAAAAACAAACUGAUCGCGUGCCCACAACAUAACUCUCUCUCUCUCCUCAUGGAUUGGAAGAGAAGUUGAAGUUUAAAUAAUUAUUACGGCGCAUCUGCAGCGAAGUGUAGACCGGCCCAAAUCAAACUGGACCAGAUUAUCCUCCAACUGAUUGUCCCCAAUCAAAAUCUCAGCCUUUGGGCUCAGCCCUCCAUCGGCAAACGCCAAACACUCCCCCCGGACUGGGGCUGGACCAACGAGUUGGCCCCAUAGAUACUCCACACAACGUUUCGGUGACCCAAAACGAAGUAGAUGGUGGGAACACUAGGCUCCAUUCACGUGCUUGGCAACUUUGUCGAGACAAAACAAACGUCAAAAAUGUAAGACUGUGGGUUUCACUCACUUGAGGGACUCCAGAGAGGUGGCCCGUCAAGAACAGAUUGAGAGUGGUAAAAAUGGAGUGCUCCAAGACAGUGUAGGGGUGGUUGCUAAUCGUUGUUCUGAUAAGGCCUUGUUUGGCUGAUGAUGUUUUAAUUGGGAUAGGCUUUCCAUUUAUUUUUAUUGAACUCACUUGUAUAAACUACUCACCCUGUGGGCUAACUAUGAGCGGGGUAUAAGCAGUUUGAGCAGAUAUAUCAAUGCCUGAAAUGAUAUGAUACGGCCCAUUUCGGAAGAAAACGACACCGUUUGAAUUAGGGGAUGCAGUGAGAUACAAGACGAAUUGUGGGCUGAAGUGAGUUGGUCCGGGAGCGAAAAAUAUGCCAUAAAUUACUCAUAAAACAAGGUAUAAAAUUUUCGCCUAAUUUGAUUGGAUGAAAUAUUUAUUUUCCUCUGUCAAGCGCUAUGUGUUAAUUUUCUUAAUAAGCAUUAUCUAUUGUGUAUGGCAAUGGAGAUUGAAAUAGUAAAUAUUUACAAACAAAAUGUUCAUUAUAACAAACAAUAAAAUAACUUGUUUUUAUGGCUGUGACGAAUAUGGAAAAUAAUAAAACUUUUUGCAGACAAAACAUUCCCGAUUCCAAAAGCCUUAAAUAAUAAAAUUUGUCUACGGUGACAGUGGCGACAACGUUAGUGAUAGAAAAUAUUAAAAUUUCACUAUUAAAACAUGUAACAAUAAAAUUUAUCAAUUGCAUGUGGUGGCAGUGGCUCCGGCUGUUGCCAUGGCAGCAACAACAUUGAUGAAUUUGUGACUUUUAUUUGAAUAGCCAUAGAAGGCAAGGGAAAAUUAUCUUAAAAAUAAUUUUACAUUAAAUUAGGAAACCUUUCAACUCAUAAAACAAAAUUUCUACUUUAGACUGCUUUUCUUGCAUCUCAGCCAGGUAUGUUUUAUUGUUUGUAUUGUUAUAGUAAUUAUAUUUGUGCACCGCAUAUGCGUAUCAUUUGACGUGUCAGUUUACACUGUUCAUUUACAUAUGUUGUGUAGAGUUUAUCAAGUGAUCUAAUUGCUCCAUAUAUACUGCCACAUUACAUAAUACUUAAAUGUGGUAUACAAAAGUAAUCAUCAUGGCUAACAACCUACAAGUCAUAAACAAUUUUUUAUGGUAUUUUCAGAAGUUAAUAAUAGUUUUUUUGGGUGAAAAAUCUACUUUACCCCUUGUAGUUUUGACUCGAGCACUUCACCUCCCUCACAUUCAAUAAUAGCCAAGCCAAUUUACCACCACCUUGUUUUGGAGUAAAGUGCAACGUGAACUCUGUUAACUGAAUUGGGGAAAUGACUGUCAUACCCUUUUUUUAUCUUCUUCUCCUAUUUUGUUUUCCUCCUCCUCCUCCUCCUCUUCUUUAUGUGUGUGUGUGUAUAGAUUGGCCAAACAAUUUUUGUUAAGAAGCAAAUUUCAAUAAACCGCUUAUUAUUAAUUAAGCCACAUAUAAUCAAGAUAUUAGACCAAGUUCCCCUAUUCUGCAAGUAAUGUCUGCUUUUAACUUAAGUUUUAAUUAACCAUUCAUUGGAUAUACAUACAAAUGUUUACAUAUGUACAGAUUUAGAAUUCAUGUUAACACAGAUUUCUGUUAAUAAUUGUUUAAAUAGGUUUGGGGAUACAAUAUUCAAGCCCACAAAAUUUUUGUGAUGAAGAAUAGGGGAAGGAUUGGCCCACCACCUGUCACCACCAAUAAUGUUGUCAUUCAUUUUACAGAUUGACAAGAGGACCACAAAAAGCUUUUGGUGGAGCAAUAAUUGAGCAAUUUAUUCUGGUGUUUUGCUACUUUAGACCACAGUGUUGCAUCUCAACCAGGUAUGUUCUUCUGGUAAUGCUCAUUUGAUAUGACAUCUUACAUGAUCUAUUUAAAUGUGUUGCCAGGAUUUAUCAAAUGGUGCAAUUUGUGCACAUAUAUCUAUCACGACAUCACAUGGUACUCAAAUUUAGUCUUUAUAAAAAGUACUUUCUCCAUAUGAACUCCUAAUAGCAGCCAAUCCUUGUCAUGAACAAUUGUUUUUUAUGAUAUUUUUAUAAGGUGAUUUUAAUUAUAAGAUUUUUCAUGUUCUUAUAAAGAUAGGAAAAGAAAAAGAAAAGAAAAAGGUUGUUGGAAAUUUGGAAUUUGUAGACUGAGAAAGUCACUUGCCUCGUGCUAGAAUCUUGUACAUUUUUCUAUUUCUCACGCUACAGCAAAGUAAUCAUCUGAAAAAGUUGUUGGAAUACAAUAUAGAUUCAGAAAGUCAUUUGUAAAUUUUAAUACUGAAAAGAAAAGGGGAAUUAUUAAGCAAAGUAUGAUUGGUGGUCUUUUGCUUGUUGCAUCUAGAUAUUUUUAUGAUGUGGUUCAUUUAGGUGUUUAAAUUCUCUAUUGAACACCAGUGUAAGAAAGCUACAAGCACAAAAUUAGGCCACAAAAGCGGAUGUGGCCACUGGCCAAACACGUCCUCAACUUGGCUCACUCAAGUUACUAAAUAUCGGUCGAUAUGUAUCUGGAUUUUGACAUUCUAAUAUGAAUAUUUUAGUAAAUGUCAACUCAGACUGUCUAAUAUUUUUAUGAUGUGGUUCAUUUAGGUGUUUAAAUUUUCUAUUGAACACCAGUGUAAGAAAGCUACAAGCACAAAAUUAGGCCACAAAAGCGGAUGUGGCCACUGGCCAAACACGUCUUCAACUUGGCUCACUCAAGUUACUAAAUAUCGGUCGAUAUGUAUUUGAAUUUUGACAUUCUAAUAUGAAUAUUUUAGUAAAUGUCAACUCAGACUGUCUAAUAUAGGCCGAUACAUAACCAUAUCACCGAUACAGUUACUGAUAUCAGCCGAUAUGUAUCUGGAUUUUGGUAUUACGAUACGGAUAUUUUAGUAAAUGUCAACCCAGACAGUCUAAUAUAGGCCAAUACAGGACUAUAUCACCGAUACAGUUACUGAUACUGCGAUUUAGGUUUCCCACUGAACCAAUGCUAUAAUUGAAAAAAAGAAGAAAAAAAAGAAACGUAAAAGAAUACUGGCAAUGUUAUUAUGUCUAGAAGUUCACUCAAAGAGAGAGAACACAAGAAAUUCCCAUCUCCAUAGCAGAACCUAUUUCUUCGAUGGCAUUUAUACACUACGUUUUAUAGCAAUAUUUUUUGAGUUGACAACUCUUUAGAGAUUCUAAAAAAUAAAAAUGCCAUUGAACUUUGUUUUUAGACCUCUCCUCGAUCCCAUAAGAAAGAAAUGCUAAAUAACGAACUAAAAAUAAAACAACUACGUGUUCCAAAUCAGUCAAAUCACUACGCAUCUGAAUUACCCAUAGUCAAUUUCUAGGUUUUUCAUUUCAGCUGCAUAACCAAUGGAUGAAUGGGUGAUCUAAGAGAUGUCAGUGGCUAUGGUUUUCAUUUCUAGGGUUUAUUGGCUUGAAUUUGCUUUUUAUUAACAAGUUUGUUAGAUUUAUUUUGAUUAUCAUGGUUCUUAUUUUAUUUUUUUCAGGUGUGUUUUAUAACUGAGUUAUGUAUAUUUUGCUCAAUGGGUAAUGCAGGUAAAAUGAGGUUAGCCCAUCUGAAAUGAAGAAAUGAACAACAUUAAGAGCAUACGGAACAUGUUGAAUUUGUAGGGUCCAUGGGUCCGUUAGCCUGGGGCUAUAUAUCCAUUUUCUCUGUUACUCAUUUUGCAGGUGGAGUUCAACAUUUUCAUAAAUAAUUAAGGCCCCGUUUGACCCAAAAUUUUUCUUGAAUUCUUUAGUUAAUUUGAUUUUUGAGGUUUGGUUAUCUCUAGUAAAUUUUUUUAAUCGUUUGAUCGAAUUUUUAUAUUUUUUUGGUUCUUUUUAAUGAGAAGAGUCUGAAAAUAUAAAAAUAUUCAUCUAAUUUGGAAAGAUGUUCACUAAAGAAAAAAAAAUAACACUUUUUACUCAACAAAUUAGUUAAAUUUUUAUUUCUUAAUGCAUUUUCGGUUCCAAAUUUGAACAAUCUUUUUUCAUUUUGAGAUUUUCUCAUCAACAAGAAAAGAAAAAGCAUAAUUUUUUUAUUAAACAGAGAAAAAAGUCACAAAAAGAUGGAAAAACUUCAAAAUCAAAGCACCUAAAAAAUCUCAAUUUUUUUUUAUGCCAAACUGGGCCUUACUAUUGGUAUUUAUCCUGUUGUACAUAUCACUUUAAAUGUGCAUUUUUACUCUAUGGAUAUAUUUGUUUAGAAAAUAUCAACCACAUCCUGAUGAACAAUGGUUAAAAUAUAAAAUAUAUAUUAAAAUGUGAAAAUGAAUUAAAAUAUAUGAAAGGUAUAUAAAGUUGUAACUUUCUUAACAUUUGGGGAUUUUUAUUUGCAACAUAAGGUCUCCCCCGAGUUGGUAUGAAUCUAUAGGAAAAACUGUUAAAAUAUUUUUUAAUUAAAAGUAAUAUUUUUUUCCUUUAAAAUGGAGAAAUGGGUUGGAGAUUCUUAUGAGUGGCUUGGAAUUUGUUUCAUCUAAUGCCAUUACACACAAAAAAUUACGUGCAUGUUUGGCAAAACUUUUAAGCACCAACUUCUGUUUUUUUUAUUUUGAAA
rnacentral:lncRNA from 1 species